rnacentral:rRNA from 1 species
UUAAGCGACUAAGCGUACACGGUGGAUGCCCUGGCAGUCAGAGGCGAUGAAGGACGUGCUAAUCUGCGAUAAGCGUCGGUAAGGUGAUAUGAACCGUUAUAACCGGCGAUUUCCGAAUGGGGAAACCCAGUGUGUUUCGACACACUAUCAUUAACUGAAUCCAUAGGUUAAUGAGGCGAACCGGGGGAACUGAAACAUCUAAGUACCCCGAGGAAAAGAAAUCAACCGAGAUUCCCCCAGUAGCGGCGAGCGAACGGGGAGCAGCCCAGAGCCUGAAUCAGUGUGUGUGUUAGUGGAAGCGUCUGGAAAGGCGCGCGAUACAGGGUGACAGCCCCGUACACAAAAAUGCACAUGCUGUGAGCUCGAUGAGUAGGGCGGGACACGUGGUAUCCUGUCUGAAUAUGGGGGGACCAUCCUCCAAGGCUAAAUACUCCUGACUGACCGAUAGUGAACCAGUACCGUGAGGGAAAGGCGAAAAGAACCCCGGCGAGGGGAGUGAAAAAGAACCUGAAACCGUGUACGUACAAGCAGUGGGAGCACGCUUAGGCGUGUGACUGCGUACCUUUUGUAUAAUGGGUCAGCGACUUAUAUUCUGUAGCAAGGUUAACCGAAUAGGGGAGCCGAAGGGAAACCGAGUCUUAACUGGGCGUUAAGUUGCAGGGUAUAGACCCGAAACCCGGUGAUCUAGCCAUGGGCAGGUUGAAGGUUGGGUAACACUAACUGGAGGACCGAACCGACUAAUGUUGAAAAAUUAGCGGAUGACUUGUGGCUGGGGGUGAAAGGCCAAUCAAACCGGGAGAUAGCUGGUUCUCCCCGAAAGCUAUUUAGGUAGCGCCUCGUGAAUUCAUCUCCGGGGGUAGAGCACUGUUUCGGCAAGGGGGUCAUCCCGACUUACCAACCCGAUGCAAACUGCGAAUACCGGAGAAUGUUAUCACGGGAGACACACGGCGGGUGCUAACGUCCGUCGUGAAGAGGGAAACAACCCAGACCGCCAGCUAAGGUCCCAAAGUCAUGGUUAAGUGGGAAACGAUGUGGGAAGGCCCAGACAGCCAGGAUGUUGGCUUAGAAGCAGCCAUCAUUUAAAGAAAGCGUAAUAGCUCACUGGUCGAGUCGGCCUGCGCGGAAGAUGUAACGGGGCUAAACCAUGCACCGAAGCUGCGGCAGCGACGCUGAUGCGUUGUUGGGUAGGGGAGCGUUCUGUAAGCCUGCGAAGGUGUGCUGUGAGGCAUGCUGGAGGUAUCAGAAGUGCGAAUGCUGACAUAAGUAACGAUAAAGCGGGUGAAAAGCCCGCUCGCCGGAAGACCAAGGGUUCCUGUCCAACGUUAAUCGGGGCAGGGUGAGUCGACCCCUAAGGCGAGGCCGAAAGGCGUAGUCGAUGGGAAACAGGUUAAUAUUCCUGUACUUGGUGUUACUGCGAAGGGGGGACGGAGAAGGCUAUGUUGGCCGGGCGACGGUUGUCCCGGUUUAAGCGUGUAGGCUGGUUUUCCAGGCAAAUCCGGAAAAUCAAGGCUGAGGCGUGAUGACGAGGCACUACGGUGCUGAAGCAACAAAUGCCCUGCUUCCAGGAAAAGCCUCUAAGCAUCAGGUAACAUCAAAUCGUACCCCAAACCGACACAGGUGGUCAGGUAGAGAAUACCAAGGCGCUUGAGAGAACUCGGGUGAAGGAACUAGGCAAAAUGGUGCCGUAACUUCGGGAGAAGGCACGCUGAUAUGUAGGUGAAGUCCCUUGCGGAUGGAGCUGAAAUCAGUCGAAGAUACCAGCUGGCUGCAACUGUUUAUUAAAAACACAGCACUGUGCAAACACGAAAGUGGACGUAUACGGUGUGACGCCUGCCCGGUGCCGGAAGGUUAAUUGAUGGGGUCAGCGCAAGCGAAGCUCUUGAUCGAAGCCCCGGUAAACGGCGGCCGUAACUAUAACGGUCCUAAGGUAGCGAAAUUCCUUGUCGGGUAAGUUCCGACCUGCACGAAUGGCGUAAUGAUGGCCAGGCUGUCUCCACCCGAGACUCAGUGAAAUUGAACUCGCUGUGAAGAUGCAGUGUACCCGCGGCAAGACGGAAAGACCCCGUGAACCUUUACUAUAGCUUGACACUGAACAUUGAGCCUUGAUGUGUAGGAUAGGUGGGAGGCUUGGAAGUGUGGACGCCAGUCUGCAUGGAGCCGACCUUGAAAUACCACCCUUUAAUGUUUGAUGUUCUAACGUUGACCCGUAAUCCGGGUUGCGGACAGUGUCUGGUGGGUAGUUUGACUGGGGCGGUCUCCUCCUAAAGAGUAACGGAGGAGCACGAAGGUUGGCUAAUCCUGGUCGGACAUCAGGAGGUUAGUGCAAUGGCAUAAGCCAGCUUGACUGCGAGCGUGACGGCGCGAGCAGGUGCGAAAGCAGGUCAUAGUGAUCCGGUGGUUCUGAAUGGAAGGGCCAUCGCUCAACGGAUAAAAGGUACUCCGGGGAUAACAGGCUGAUACCGCCCAAGAGUUCAUAUCGACGGCGGUGUUUGGCACCUCGAUGUCGGCUCAUCACAUCCUGGGGCUGAAGUAGGUCCCAAGGGUAUGGCUGUUCGCCAUUUAAAGUGGUACGCGAGCUGGGUUUAGAACGUCGUGAGACAGUUCGGUCCCUAUCUGCCGUGGGCGCUGGAGAACUGAGGGGGGCUGCUCCUAGUACGAGAGGACCGGAGUGGACGCAUCACUGGUGUUCGGGUUGUCAUGCCAAUGGCACUGCCCGGUAGCUAAAUGCGGAAGAGAUAAGUGCUGAAAGCAUCUAAGCACGAAACUUGCCCCGAGAUGAGUUCUCCCUGACCCUUUAAGGGUCCUGAAGGAACGUUGAAGACGACGACGUUGAUAGGCCGGGUGUGUAAGCGCAGCGAUGCGUUGAGCUAACCGGUACUAAUGAACCGUGAGGCUUAACCU